rnacentral:tRNA from 1 species
GCCGAGGUGUCGGAACUGGCAGACGAGCACGCUUGAGGGGCGUGUGGGUUCACACCCGUGGAGGUUCGAGUCCUCUCCUCGGCACAA